AUAGUAGUCCCUCCGUCCCAAAAUUCUUGUCUUAGAUUUGUCUAGAUAUGGAUGUAUCUAAUACUAAAACAUGGCUUGAUACAUCCGUAUUUAGACAAAUGUAAGACAAGAAUUUUGGGACGGAGGGAGUAUAAA
rfam:Triticum aestivum genome assembly, contig: Triticum_aestivum_CS42_TGACv1_scaffold_485310_6AS